rnacentral:rRNA from 1 species
CCCUUAGAUGUUCUGGGCCGCACGCGCGCUACACUGACGAUGGCAACGAGUUUUUCCUUCGCCGAAAGGUGUGGGUAAUCUUUUGAAACAUCGUCGUGCUGGGGAUAGAUCAUUGCAAUUUUUGAUCUUGAACGAGGAAUUCCUAGUAAGCGCGAGUCAUCAGCUCGCGUAGAUUACGUCCCUGCCCUUUGUACACACCGCCCGUCGCUACUACCGAUUGAAUGGUUUAGUGAGGACUCCUGAUUGGCGCCGCCGCCCCGGCAACGGAGCAGCGGACUGCCGAAAAGUUGUUCAAACUUGAUCAUUUAGAGGAAGUAAAAGUCGUAACA